GAGGAGAUGGUGGAGGAGGAUGGAGCUCUGUUCUUGGGUGGGGAGGGGAUUAAAGACAGCCCGAGGAGCUGGGUCUUUCCUGGGCAUAGCCCCCACCACCCCCCCCAACCCUCUUCCAUUCCCUCACCAUCCUCAUCUGCCUCAGCACCCUGUAGCCUCCCCGCCAUUACAGCCCAUUCUCCGCCGCUGGGUCUCCCUCCGCCCGCCUCUGGCCCUGCCACAGACUUCCACUGCCCCUGCUCCGGUUGCCAUGGUGACCCUCCCUCCUCCGCUGCCCCGGUAGCCAUCGUGAGCCCCGCCCAUCCCUGCCCCAGUUGCCAUGGUGACCCACCGCCCGCCCCUGACCCGGUUGCCAUGGUGACAAUGCCUGUUUACCGCUGACGGACUGACAUGGCGUCCCCUCUGGAGCGGGAGGCGGCCGAGUACCUGACGGAACAUCAGAUCCUGGAGCUGCUCGACAACCUGGUCAGCAUGUUGCUGUACGAGCGGCCAGCAAAGCCAUUGGAGUUUUUAGUACAGCAACUGGAAAAACUGAAGACUGCCAGAGACACUAAGAAGGACUAUCCUUCCUUGUUUGAUGAGUCAAAUUUAGAUGCUGUGUUUGGGAUUUUAGAUCCUACAAAGCAAGGACAUGUAACUUUGAGGCAGUAUAGAGAAGCUUUGAAAACCCUAGGAAUAAAGGAUUUUGAAAUGGACCCGAAGGGUGCUGAAGAUGAUAAAAUAACUCUGGAAACAUUCAAAACAGAGGCGAGGAACCUGUUUCUAAUGUCUAACAUCAGCCAGAAGUUCUGCGAACUGAAAAGCUAAAGGUUUUCAAGCUACGGAAUUUUCCUUUGAGCGAAAAUAAAUUACUGACUCGUCUCCUAAAAGAACAGGAGCAGACUGUACAGCACCUUAAGCCUGUCCUGCCAUUCAAUGAGAUCAUGGCUGACCUGUGGCCCUGCUCCAUAUACCUGCCUCUGGCCUAAAUCUCUUAAUAUACAGUUAUCUAUCACAGAUUUAAAAUUAAUAACGGAUCUAGCGUCAAUUGCUGUUUCUGGAAAAGACUUCCAAACUGUUGGGUGAAGAAGUUCUUCCUGACAUCUCAUUUUCGUCAUGUUCUUAACUUAGUGAAAUCACUUCAGUGACAAAUAAAAUUCGCUCUUAUUUGAA